GUGGUAGUGUUAAAAGUCGAGCCAUGAGAUGCAGGGAAGUGAGAGGAAAUGUGCUAGCCACGGAGCUGUUCUCACCUUUCCACGGGCUUCUCCUCACGUUUGGAGAGGAAGGGGCUGAUCCCUGGCACACAGAGGUGAAUAAAAACCACCAGCUGUUGGGUCUGACUCUCUGGAGAAGAGAAAUACACUUUGCCACUAAUAAUCAGCUCCGUGGUUCAUGUUGGGUCUGGCUGCCACAGGCUAGCUGCUGUCAACAACUACCAGGACAGAACAACUUGUGAAGCUGGCAUGGGGGAAGCCAAGAGGAACAGCUGUCUGGUUGGAACACAGGUGGAGAAAAUAGAUGGAGAAAAGUAAAGAAAAGAGCAGCAGCACUAUCUUCAAAAAGAGAGUCAUUACUUUUAUCAUGGAUUUUUCUGACCUACAGCUCGUACUGGAAAGGCACCUCAUUAGAUUGUCAGCAGUGUGUGCUCAGAGCACGGGGGAAAUAUUGUCAAAAACACUCCACCUGCCUGCCCUCCCCUUUGAAGUACAUCAGCAGCUUCCAUUCUAAAAUUGGUGGCAGGGCUGCAGGACAGGUCAC